AAAAAAAAAAAAAAAAAAAAGAUAGGUUCUUGGGCACUACUCUUCUCUUUCUCUCUCUCCCUAUCUCUCUCUCUCUUGCAAAAAACUGUUCUUCUGAAAAUAGCAAAAAGUGGAAUGGAAUAGAAUGUUUUUGAUCUAAACUAACUCCAGAUUUCAGGUUCUCCAAAGUGGAAAUUUUUUUCUCUUACCAAGAAAACAGAGGAAGCAGAGCAACAAAGGAAAAGAAAAACAGAGCAAGAGUGAAGAAAGAGAUGGGAGGGGUGGCAUCGACCAUGGCAGCGAAAUUUGCCUUCUUUCCACCAAACCCACCAUCAUACAAGCUAAUAACCGACGACCUCACUGGUCUCUUGCUUUUGAGCCCCUUCCCUCACCGUGAAAACGUUGAAAUCUUGAAAUUGCCCACUAAGAAAGGUACAGAGAUAGUGGCAAUGCACAUAAGGCAUCCUAUGGCAACCUCCACUCUUCUUUACUCUCACGGUAACGCUGCCGAUCUGGGGCAGAUGUAUGAGCUUUUCAUCGAAUUGAGCAUCCACCUGAGGGUUAAUCUCAUGGGGUAUGACUAUUCCGGUUAUGGACAAUCAUCUGGAAAGCCAAGUGAGCAGAACACAUAUGCAGAUAUUGAAGCCGCAUACAAGUGUCUUGAAGAAAGUUACGGCACCAAGCAAGAAGACAUUAUCCUUUAUGGACAAUCUGUUGGAAGUGGCCCUACCUUAGAUCUUGCUGCUCGACUGCCCCAGUUACGGGCUGUUGUACUGCAUAGUCCCAUACUAUCGGGUUUAAGAGUCAUGUAUCCUGUCAAGCGUACAUACUGGUUCGACAUUUAUAAGAAUAUUGAUAAAAUUCCACUAGUUGAUUGUCCUGUUCUUAUCAUUCAUGGAACUUCAGAUGAGGUGGUCGAUUGCUCCCAUGGUAAGCAACUCUGGGAACUGUGUAAAGAAAAAUACGAACCACUCUGGCUUAAAGGAGGGAACCACUGCGAUCUAGAGCACUUUCCAGAGUAUAUCAGGCACCUGAAGAAGUUCAUAUCAACUGUCGAGAAACCUCCUUGCCAAAGGUACAGUUCAAAGAGAGGUACAGACCAGUUUGGGCAACCCCGGAAGAGUACUGAUGUAUUUGAGGUUUCCAGGAAAAGUACAGAUUGGAGAGAGAAAGCAAGGCAUAGUACUGACAGGCCUGAGAAACUGAAAAACCAAUCCAAUCAUGCUGACAAACUGGAAAAACUCAAAAAUCAGUCUAAUAAUACUGAUAAGCUAGAAAAGCUGCGCAUGGAUCAAAUGGAAAGGUCUCGACGAAGUGUUGAUUGCCAUGAGAAAUCCCGGAAAAGCAUUGAUCAUCAACUGGAAAGAGCACGGAAAAGCGUUGACAGGUUGGAUAGAAUAAGAACUGGUUAAUAUUUAAAACCAACCAUAAAGUUUACGUAUGGGUUAGGUGUUGUGGGCAAUUUGUUUUGGUAUUUCUUUACUAAUUUAUAUGGUUUUUCUGGCUGUGUAAUUGGCUUGUGUCAUCUCUAUAAUAACUAUUGGCAUGAAAUGAGAAAGGGUUUUUAUGUCACAUUGGUUUACUGUUAGUGACUCUUGCAAUAUUACACAUCAUCAUUGUCUUCAUUUUCAAUUUUCAGAAAAUCAAACAUGGUUUUCCAUUCUUGACUGAACUAUAGAUCUUCCAAUGCUGUGCCAUUCAAUCAAUCAUUGGCGUGGACAUCAAUGUAGUGUUCAUAAAUAUAAAGAUUCCUGAGGUGCCUGCCAAAGAGAAAAAGGAGAAAAACUGUCGGAAAGAAUUGAAUAUUCUUGUGAACAUAUAGGGCUUGUUCCGGAGCCCUUGAAAGGCAAUGUCUUACUUGAUAUCAUUUAAAGGAAAAAUAUGAAGUAGCAGCAGCUAAUCUGAUAGUCAUAGAUUGAUUCAAGGAUCUCUAUCAAAGGGCUUUGUAUCAUUGUAACAGACAUCCCAGACAGCUUCCAUGGCAUCCUUUGCAGCAGCUUCUGAGCAGUAUGGGUUGGCAAUCACUGAUUUCAUCGCUCUUCUUCUCACACAUUCCUUCAAAUUUAACAUUGAAAACUUGAGAAAUAUUCUAUCAUUUGAAGAACAUAUUAAACAAGCAGAAGAAAAAAGCAAGACAAGACUACAAAGGGGAAAAGAAAAGAGAGAAAUGUGAUGCAUUUCCUUGUUUUAUAAGGCAGUUAUUUCCAUUCCACAUAUAUUGGGUUGGGUGGCAAAUUUUCCAUUGACAAAGUAUACUUUGCUAUUAGAUAUACAAACUAGUAUGUGUCUAUAAUGAGAGAUAAGAAGAACUCUCUGAUUGCAGUUCUUAUAUUCAAGCUCAGCUCCAAAAUUAAGUAGAUCAUAACAAGGUCCUCUUCUGGAGGGAUAACUUUAUCAAUCUUCUCUUCUUUGAAACCCUCUGUUAAGAUGACAGUCAUCAUCACAGUUUGGGCCAUCAUACUCUCUAGAUUUAGAGGAGUAAUUGUUCAUGGCCUUUUAUUUUCACGUAACCGCGCAGCAGUUCCCUUUUAUAGUGGCAAUCUCCACUUAGAUGGCCAGCACGAAUCUGCGUCACAUAAAUGACAGAAGAAAAAGGAACUAAGUAUCAAAUCUAUAAAAUGAUAUAUUACCUUAGACUAUAUAAUUAUUACUAUGUUACAAUGGAUGCAUAAAAAUUAGUAUUAACCCAAAACAUCUUCAUAAUUGACCUACAUACUCCAAUCUCCAUUAAUCAAUAUGAAAUAUAUAUUGUAAGAUUUCACAUAGAAAUGCACAAAUGGACGCUGUUAUAAAUACACAUUCAAAGAAUCAAACACUUUAACCACCAAUAUUAGUGCAAGUUAAUGAUGCUGUAUGACAUCAAAGAGAAAAGGUAUGGAGCACAUUUUUUCAUGAAUCUCGAUCUUUCUAAUUUUGUUCCUUAGAAACAGAUAAUUUGUAUUUUACAUACAUGGCACAAUUUAUUUUAUCAUGCAAUACAAUAAUUGAUGGCAAAAUGGCCUAUUAUAUUUAAUGCAUACCUAGUUGAUCAAUCAUUAUUGGGUUGUUUUGUACUCUUCCUCCAAGUUUUUUUUUUCACUUAGCAUCAUUGUUAUCAAAAGCGUGCCUCAGGCGUGAGGCACACCAGGCGCAGCCCAUAGUGCCUGAGAAAUCCAAAAGCGCACAACCUCCAAGAGGCACACCUCACGAAGGCCAUCCACACCCAUGCAAUCAUAGAAAGCAAACUAAAAAAAUAAGAAGGAGAAGAAGAAAACGAAGAAGAAGAAGAUCUGAAAAACCUGACUUGAAGAAGAUAUGAAAAACCUGACUUGAUUAUAUCCUCUCCUAGGCUUGGACUUAUUUAAUUUCCGAUCUAGAACUCCAGGUAUGCUUUUCUUGUUUUUCCUUCCUGCUCCUCUCCCUCUCCACCAGACCCAUUUCCACCCGACCUUUCAUUUCCCUUUCUCUUCUAUGCUUUCUUUUCCUCCUUUCCUUUUCAAAAUCUCAGAUCUCACUACAGGCAUGAUGGGCA
rnacentral:misc_RNA from 1 species